GUGCCCUGGUAAGGCGGACGCGCUGCCUCAGGAGGCUAACGCAGAAGGGCAAAGUAAGUCGCCAUAAAACCCAGAGACAAGAGGGUGAAACUCCUCUUUGGAUCCUGUCUAGAGUCACAGCU